AAAAAGAUUGAGGUUUCCUUCAUAUGUUUCUAAAAACAAUAAAGGAAUUUCUCUUUGAAAUAUAUUCAGUUGACAGAUCUGAAUUUAGCCAAAAGGAAGAGAAUUAGAAAAUGUUUUAACCAAAUUGCCUCUUCUGUCAAUUCCUGAAGGAUCUAAAAAGUAUUAUUUUCAAUUUUAUGUAAGGAGCACAGGUAGCUUUAUACUUUCAUGAAAUACUUAAGCCAGAGAAAUAAAAUACCCUCCGAUUGUUCAGUUCAGUUUGGUCCCAUUCCUUCCUUUAAUUUUGUGUGGUAUGUUUUGUUUAGCUUUUAAUAUGGACUCGGGAGAGCUAAGCGGUGGGUGGUGCUUGGUUUUAUUUUGUAUACAGUAUUUUGGGCAUUAUUAAAAAUGUUUUAUUAUUUUCACAUGGAGUAGUAAAAAUCCUUUAAAAUUAAACCAAACACAGGGCAGAAUUGAAGAUAACAAAUAAUUCAGUUUUUUGUGGAAAAUUCCCACUGAAAAAUAGUUCUGUCUGGCAUGUGUCUCAGUUUUGUCUCAGCCAUGGUGCUAAGCAACCACUGCAGAACCGGGUUGGUUAUAUGCUAAAGAAAUGGAGAUAAUUGCUGAGGAAGAGAGGAGUGCCCUGAAGACUGGAAACGCUGAGAAUCCUUUCGGAGGCAAAAUUAAUGACAGAGAGACUGCUUCUUUCAGCUCAUUGGUCAGGACUCCACCUGUCUCCACCUAAUGACAAGGAAGCUAGUGCAUGUGAUCCUAUUGUGUCCCAAAGGCAGAGCUCUAAUGACCACAGCAGCUACUUCUGUCACCACCCUGAUGCUACUUUGCCCCUGGAAUUCCAUUCAGCCUACACCACUACUGUUAUUACCAAUGAGAGAGAACAAGCUCUUGGUCCCUUUUUUCUUGUGUCACUGGCUCCAGAGUUCCGAAUUUGUCAUAGGGGAGUCUGCUUGACAGAACUCAGGUCAGAGGUCUGUGCUGUAACAUUUUCAGUUCCUGUAAGCUCUAAAACUUGACCCUUCAGAACUCCUAAAGUGGAGAAAUUCCUAAGCAUAAAAAUUCUAUAACAAUUAUAUGUUGGAUAUCUGCAAAAUGUAAUAAAUUCCCACCCAGGAUUGUGACUUUUGAGACA
rnacentral:lncRNA from 1 species